CAAAGAGUGACCAAAAUUUCUGAUCUAAUCAUCCAAGAAGGCGCUCAAGGGGACCUUCAAGAGGAACUCGAAGUGGACGCCUAGACACUUGUUUGAGUAUUUACUCUCUUGUUGCAAUAGGACUGGGCUCGGUCGGGUAGGUUGGAACCCUGGGCCACCGUUUCGGUAUACUCGAGUAUUACCACUGGAGGGAUAAGGCGAUGGCCAGACUGUACCGUGGGGAUCGGAAGUCAUAAAGUGCAGAUGACCGACAGAGUUCCACUGGAACACCGUAUCCUACCGUAUAUGUUUACCUUGUAUCAUGAUAAUUGUUUCAUGCUAAAAUGUCAACAUGAAAUCCUGAGCCAUGCCUGUGAUAUGCUCCCUACCUGUUACCUGUCCAAUGUACUCAUAUCAUGAUACCUGUUUCAUGUUAAUGCUCCAUACCUGUAACAUGCUUAAUUACUCGCACCUGUAAUAAGCU